UACGUAGGGGGCGAGCGUUGUCCGGAAUCAUUGGGCGUAAAGAGCUCGUAGGCGGCUCGGUAAGUCGGGUGUGAAACCCCCAGGCUCAACCUGGGGACGCCACCCGAUACUGCUGUGGCUAGAGUCCGGUAGGGGAGCGUGGAAUUCCUGGUGUAGCGGUGAAAUGCGCAGAUAUCAGGAGGAACACCGGUGGCGAAGGCGGGUCUCUGGGCCGAUAUUGACGCUGAGGAGCGAAAGCGUGGGGAGCGAACAGG
rnacentral:rRNA from 1 species